CACAGCCAAGACAGAGGUUGUUAUAACUCUUCAGCUCACUUUUAUUUAAGUUAAGUUCUGUGAUCAGUCGUUUCCAUCUGCAAAAGCUCUUGUGUCAAUGCCACUGGCGCGUGGAACAGAAAUUGCCACAUUUCACCCCGGUACAAAGCAACAGGAGGAACGGCUUCGUGUCUCACAUGGGGAAUAACACCCAACUCCCCAUGCACGCUGCUAGCACAAACUCAACCAGUUUCCUGCUCGACUUGUUCAGCCAUCCACCCGGCAACAUUUCUGUUCCCGGAGCAGUAUCUUUGCAAAUCAGCGCACGCCGUGGCAAGAGGGGAACGCCUCCCAUCAGCACUGCUGGGUUUGUGCUCCUGCGAGCUCAGCGUGGGCAGCCUUAGCGUGGAGCAAAGCCAGUGUUCAGCCCUUGGCAUCAGGUCCAGCAAAGUUUGGAAGCAACCAUUUGGCAAAUGCCAUGCAACCGCGUGGAAAGGGAAGGAGGAACCGGAGCGCCGGAUCGGAACAUUGCUAAGUGCGGCUUUGUAAAACCAAAACAACCGGCUCGAAUCGCGCUCCGCCUCUUUCUUCAGGACAGAUGUACGGAGCCCGGGAGCCGGGGGGAGGGCAGCAGAAGGAGACGUCAGAGUGGUGAGGAUAGAGAUGCUGAGGGAGGUCUGACAACGGGGCGUAGACGUGGGGGAUCUUCUGCAGAUACCGACCGUCGUGGGAGUAGCAGCGGGUCAGGUAAUCACUCGCAUUCGGUAUCUCUGAGUGACGCUUUCCAAAGUUCUGUAAGCAGAGACAAAAGUCAAAGGGUGAAAACUCCAUCAAACGCGCAGCUCAGCUCCUUGCUGAGGCUCACAUGUAGCAAAUAGGGUGGGAAAUUAAAUAGUUCUGCUUGCUGCUUCAGAAAAAUAGAAAGCCGGGUGAUAAAACCUCACAUUUCAACAAGCGUUGCCACAGUUCUUGAAAUAUCCAUUGGGCUAAGGAAUACGUAGGUGUUUUGCAUUCUUUGCCCCUUGCCUGGAUGGUUUCUGCCUCUCUCAAUAGAGCAGGCAGUGGAACAAGGAAGGGCAGUUUAUUUACAGCCUUCCUAACUCUCCCACACCUGAGUUCUGUAAAAGCAGCGCUUGUACGCAUCGUUAGGCCAACACAGACCUGUGCUCUUUUGCACAAAAGGGCGCGUUUGUCUGACCAGCAGCUCUGCAGGUACAAUAGGUUAUUGUGCCCGAUGUUUACCCAGCAGCCAGGACUGUGUGCUGAGCUGUACCUGUGCGAUCAGCUCCUUUGUCAUCCUCAGCACCAGGCUUGUGAGUCAAAGCAACCGUGGAGAAUGUAAAGCAUUUGCAAGAUGGGAGCUCAGAGCGGCUCCAAGCAAUCCCACAACCCCUGCUCCCCCUGGGGUGGCAGAGGUGGGAUGCUCCCUGCUGCUCACUGCCCUUUCCCAGGUCGAAGCCCUGCAAAACGACCCAAGCAGGACUGACCAUGACCUUGCUCUCACCAUAAUCUCAUCUCUAAGAGGCAGCAAACCCGCCAGCAACAGCCUUUUACGCCCGUGGUUUGAUUCGGGGCUGGCUGAAACAAGCGACUUGCCCUUGAGUCCUUCCUUGCUCUCUUUGAACAUAGCAGAAACAGUCGGUUUAGUGAACAGGACAAGGAUUUGACCCUCAGGAGAAAAAGCCUGAAGGAACAGAGCAAUCUACUCAACUCCUCCGCUGCCAGUUCCCGGAUAAAUAUUUCACCAGGACGCUUAAAAAAAUCAUGUAGAAAACAAAGUGUCGACAAUAAUUUAUUGAUGGCUCAGACUGCUGCGAGAGGCAGCAAGGUUGGAAGGCUGGAGCUCUGAAGGCAGAGGAGGCCAUGGGAGGGUGGGGAGUAGGAGCACGGGGACAGCAGCCGCAAUGCUAAGGUCAACCUGACUUUCUUUUCUCUUUCCUUGGCAAAAUGGUGUGUCCGACUGCUUGAGACUUUUGAAGCCAGUGGUCUCGAGCUGGACAGACAGCAAAGGGGCUUACAAUAAGCUCCAGGUCCCUUCUGCGCAGAAUCGUUGCACUGGUAUCUCUGACAUUUGGUGCUUAAUGUGGGCCUGGAAGAACCAUCCACGAAGCAGGGCUGGAGGGAACCGGUGCCGUUCUGUCAGCACUUCUGGCCAGCUCCGGCACUGAUGAAAGAAGGAGAUAAUUGGAAUGGAGGAAGAAGGAGGAGGAGGAGGAGAAGGAAAAGAGAUCCAGGAGAAGGGAGCGAGACAUGGAUGAGGGGAAAAGCUCAACAGAGUAAUGAACAAUCAAAUCCCUUUGGUAAUUUAUUUCUUCUGCUGUACAAUCUAGAGGAGGUGAUGACACACGAAAUUGCAUCUCCUGGAGGAACGAAGGGGCCACAUCCUGACUCCCAUUACAUCUCCUGAUCUCAACAGCCUGCUCUCAAUGCCCAGAGCACAGCAGGUCCUGUGUCUGUGCUGAGCCAGAGACACAGCCCUGCUUCCUUGAUGAGCCCAUUAGGGUCAUGCUAUUACAAGCAGCCACCAGACAAAUUCCAUCAGAGAGAAGGGACCGGGACUGCAGCUCGCACUCGUAUCAUCUGCGCUACUAGAGUUAAUUUGCUCAGCAACCUUCAGCAUCACCCCUGGGAACAUCUCACUCCGUUUGACCACGUGCCCUGGGCCACGUUUGUGUGGUUUUGCCUCCAAGGUGCUUCCACCAUGGCUUGGCUCUACCUUGGAUGUCCCCAGAGAUGAGAUCAGCUCCGUGUUUGCAUGGCUGCAAGCUCCUGCUCAUGCCGUAUCCAGCUGGGUAUUUGUUAGCUUGCAGAGCUUCCUCUGUCUCCGAAACAGAUCAAACAGAAAAGCUGCAAAGAGAGAGACUGUCAGCGUGAAAGAGAAGCUGCAAAGGUUGGUACAACAGCUAAGGUCACGCAGGAGAGAGCAACAGGAACAAACAAACCCUUUGCAGUGCUCUAUAGGCACUUUACCAGAUGGAGAAUGUCAAGAGGGCAGUCAUAAUUCAGAAAAGGCAAAAGAUGUCAAUAACUAUUCAUGAUCUGUCUUGGAAACAGAAAUCUGUUCUGGGAGACAAAGCGAUUUCUGCAUGUUAGAGGAUGGCAGAACCAGCCAUCUUGCCCUGGGCACCAUCUCUUUGGGUACUCCCAAAGCAAACAGGUUGAAAACUCGGCCAAAGUGAUCCCCAACUCACAGCUGUCAGAUUCCUUUGUGUAAAUUGGGCUUGUUAAAUCCUAAAAGGGUGCAGAGCUGCUCCCUGCCUCCUCCUUGCCAGCUCCUCUGCUCUGUAGCUCAGGUAGCACCAUCAAGGCAGGUCCUCCAAGCCCAUUUUAGGUCAGUUAUAAUUGGGAAGGCUCACGUGGAGCUAUAAAACAUCAGUUAAUACGCUGGAACUAUCUAGUUAAAUGCCAAUUAUAAAAGCCCAUAAGCUCCUCAACUCAAAUAUAUUAAUAACAUAAUUAAACAUUUAUUGCUUAUGCAAAUUAAAAGUUAAGUUAAUCGGACAUCAACGAAACCCCAGGAAGUGACCAUUUAAGUAACUAAUUUCUAUUUAAUUAUGAUUCCUCCCUAUUAUCGAGCCCCCAUGCCAUUACUUCUGGACAGCUCUGCAGUGUUUACCCGCACCAUUCAGACUCUGCAUUCCCACUCUGGUAUCUAUUCAUAAUCCCGGACAGCUGCCUCAUUCAUAUCACAGCCACGGAGCUGGCACAGCUGGCAGCAGCUGGACUGGAUGCCCCUGCUUCUCCUCCCACCUCCUCUUGGCUAAGGAAGGGCACAGCCAGGGCUAAAUCUCCAGAUCCAACAUGGGAAUGAACUCGUGGGAAGGCACCUGGUGGGGAUAGCAACUCGUGUUGGUAUAGAUCCCAUAGGCAGAAGGUGGCAAUUCAGCCCUGCGUGCCCCCCAGAGCCUUGCCCCAGGUUCCCUGCACACUUCUGCUGCUGUCACAUUUCCCUGUUGCCACCGGGAAGGGCACUUUGGAGCACAGCAGGGAAGUCGCAGCCCUUGGAGGGUGAGUGCUUUGUGAUGAGCUCGGCUCCUCGGGUGGACGAAGCUGUGUGCCAGCAGAAAGCCACUGCUCAUUAUUAUUGUAAAGCGGUAAUUGAAAGGGCUGGGAGCUAGAGCAGGGCGACGAAAUGAGGCCAGGAGAUGGGAAAUGAAGCAUUUCGUUCCUCGAGGGAUGGAGAUGUUCCCCCGGCGAGCCGAGGCUCUGAGGCCGGGGCCAUACGGAUGGGCUCCCUCCCCCAGUGCGACAGGCAAUCAGUUAAAGCUGACAGGUGUGAAGUUGGCAAUUUUCUUUUCAAACCGGUGAGAUAAACAGGCUGGCGGGAGUUUGAGAGGAGCAGGGAGAUAAAGGGGAAGAGAAA